rnacentral:lncRNA from 1 species
AUAUUCAUAAAUAUCCAUGAGUAGUUUAAGAGUGAGCCGGCCCAAAUCCCGUAAGGAAGAAAAAAAACCUCCUAAGGUAUAUAUUCGGAUAUCAUAGAAUUUUCAACAGAAUCCUCCAAAUAGGCUCUAAUUGGAUCUUCAGAUACCAUAGUCUCAAGAUAUUCCAAGACUCUUUCAAUAUCACCUACAUUUGCUUUCAGUGACUGCUUUUAUGCAAAUGAUUCUUAAAUCUUUGAGCAAAAAUUAAGAUUUUAACGACCAUAGUUUGUCUAGAUAUAAAAUCAGAUAUUGCCUUUCGACUAAUUCCAUUGUUUAUUGCAAUCCCAGCUUA